CGCUGCGCUCGGCGGGCGCCAGGCAGCCCGGGGGAGGCGCUGCGGGCCAGCGGCCCGGGCUCGGCUGGCGGCGGGACGGCAGUUUUGGAGACGUGGGAAGCCAGGUAAUUGCUGAAAAGGAGCACACCUGUGUAAUGCAACCAGAAGAAAUAAGUAAAAGAUAUGAGGAAAUUGAAGAUCAAAGGAUUUAAGAAACCUCCCAGCUCCUACAUCUAAUGAAUUCCGGAGUUUGAAUCCAGGAGACGCGGAGAGAGGGAGAGAGAGAGAGAGAGGGCACGAGAGAUCCUGCCUGCACCCCUGGCCCGCUCUGCUAAUCUUGCUUACCCUCGGAAGGGAGGCGUUCUGAAUGCUGGCUUCUUAAAUUCGACCUUCCCUUCUGACUGAGGACCACUGGACUUUGAAGGAACUCUCUGCUCUUAAUUUCCAUAUUGAUUAGUCAACAGUGGAAAAUCUGAAGAGAUGCGAGCUGGAAAAAGAAACUAAACCAGGCCUGAAGAGUGAUGCGACAGGCAUGAUGGAGGUCGAGUCCUCCUACUCGGACUUCAUCUCCUGUGACCGGACGGGCCGCCGGAACGCAGUCCCUGACAUCCAGGGAGACUCCGAGGCCGUAAGCGUACGGAAGCUGGCUGGCGACAUGGGCGAGCUAGCCCUCGAGGGCGCAGAAGGACAGGCGGAGGUGGGCACCCCAGACAAGGAAGGUAGCAACCAGCCCAAGAGCAGCGAUGGGACCACCUCAUCUUGAACAUGACCUUGCCCGAGGAGGCUGGAAGAGUGACGCACCGUGGACGGAAGCCCUGGCACUGGCCCAGCAGCCUUUCCUCUGAGCAAUGUGUUCCAGCAAAAGCAGGGGCUGGGCCUUGUUCCCCCAAGGCCAUGAUUAGCUGGGACCCAUUGCUGCCCCAGGCUUCCACGGAAUGAAGGACCUGAGAAGAUGCCGGGGUACCGCAGAGGCCAGCACCACACCUCAGGCCAGUAUCUGAAGAAUCAUCUUCCAUCUUACCCUCUCACCCCAAUUCACAGCUUUGGGAACAAACAAAAGGAAGGUUUCCCCACUUAGGACCUAGAGUAGGAGGGGGUUAAGAGUUCAGGGAGCAUUUAAGCAGAUAAGCCUUCAAGAGAAGCCUGGUUUCUUCUGGACGGAGAGUAGGCUUUGGGCCCCGCUUUGCCCCCCAUUCCCAUUCACAGAGCCCACCAGGCUCUCGGGACCCUGCUGCUGGGCAGGCUGCCUGCGUCUGGGGGCCCCAGGGGCUCCUUCCGUUCUCCACAAACCCAAGUUGGCCCGCUCUGACCGCAGCGCCCCACACCACGUGCUGCACAACCCCAGCUGCUGUUUUCUUUAUUAAGCACCAGAUUUUCAGCACAGGUUACCAGAGGAGGGAGGGAUUCAGAUUCAACCAGCCACAGGCCCUGAUCCUGGCCCGGGCACACAAUCAGAGGAGAGACACGGCCAGGCGGAGGUAUACGUGUGUACAGAAACAGGCAUGUGGGCUUCACGAGCGUCAGUAGCUGACUCUGGAAAUCAUAGUCUCCCUGGAAGGAGUAAAGGGAGUUGUGAGGACUCCAUCCACAGGGUGAGGACUCAGAGGUGGCCACGAUGUCUUCAGGGACACUGCCCUGCUUGCCAAGAGAAGCAGAAAGGUGAGGCAACUUGUAGUACCCAGAACAUU